rnacentral:rRNA from 6 species
GGGUUGUGAGGUUAAGCGACUAAGCGUACACGGUGGAUGCCCUGGCAGUCAGAGGCGAUGAAGGACGUGCUAAUCUGCGAUAAGCGUCGGUAAGGUGAUAUGAAC